rnacentral:rRNA from 1 species
UACGUAGGGUGCAAGCGUUGUCCGGAAUUAUUGGGCGUAAAGAGCGCGCAGGCGGUCGUUCAAGUCGAGUGUGAAAGCCCCCCGGCUCAACUGGGGAGGGUCAUUCGAUACUGAUCGACUCGAAGGCAGGAGAGGGAAGUGGAAUUCCCGGUGUAGUGGUGAAAUGCGUAGAUAUCGGGAGGAACACCAGUGGCGAAGGCGACUUACUGGACACAUAUUGACGCUGAGGUGCGAAAGCGUGGGGAGCAAACAGGG